GACGAACGCUGGCGGCGUGCUUAACACAUGCAAGUCGAACGGAAAGGCCCUGCUUUUGUGGGGUGCUCGAGUGGCGAACGGGUGAGUAACACGUGAGUAACCUGCCCUUGACUUUGGGAUAACUUCAGGAAACUGGGGCUAAUACCGGAUAGGAGCUCCUGCUGCAUGGUGGGGGUUGGAAAGUUUCGGCGGUUGGGGAUGGACUCGCGGCUUAUCAGCUUGUUGGUGGGGUAGUGGCUUACCAAGGCUUUGACGGGUAGCCGGCCUGAGAGGGUGACCGGCCACAGUGGGAAUGAGAUACGGCCCAGACUCCUACGGGAGGCAGCGGUGGGGAGUAUUGCACAAUGGGCGGAAGCCUGGUGCAGCAACGCCGCGUGGGGGAUAACGGCCGUCGGGUUGUAAACCGCUUUCGCCUGUGACGAAGCGUGAGUGGCGGUAAUGGGUAAAGAAGCACCGGCUAACUACGUG
rnacentral:rRNA from 1 species